GACGAACGCUGGCGGCGUGCUUAACACAUGCAAGUCGAGCGAUGAAGCACCUUCGGGUGUGAAUUAGCGGCGAACGGGUGAGGAACACGUGAGAAAUCUGCCUUCAACUCUGGGAUAACUCCGUGAAAACGGGGCUAAUACCGGAUAUGAGCCUUGAUCGCAUGAUCGAGGCUGGAAAGUUUUUCGGUUGAAGAUGAUCUCGCGGCCUAUCAGCUUGUUGGUGAGGUAAUGGCUCACCAAGGCGACGACGGGUAGCCGGCCUGAGAGGGCGACCGGCCACACUGGGACUGAGACACGGCCCAGACUCCUACGGGAGGCAGCAGUGGGGAAUAUUGGGCAAUGGAGGAAACUCUGACCCAGCGACGCCGCGUGCGGGAAGAAGGCCUUC
rnacentral:rRNA from 1 species